GGAGUACUUUACUAAGAAAAUGUACUCUGGGCUACAUUUACCAUUAGUAACUCAUUUCUGGUAUCUUUUUAGACCAUUUUACUUACCUAAAUCAGUAAUUAUAGAAUUCGUUGUUUAGAAGAUGGCUUCUACUAAUGGUGUUGAGAGAUUCCUGUGAGAUUCAACUGAGUCAUGUCCUUGGGAAUUGUGUUGGAUAAGCAGUGACCUUCUGCAGCUGAUAAAUAUUUCAUUAUUGCUUAAAGGAAUCUGUUGAAAAAUUUACCAAAAAAUACUUGAUAUUUAUAAAGUAAUACUUGUAUAUGGAGAACUAUAUUAGAUGCUAUUGAGAGUAACAAUGAAGAAAAACAGCUAUUGUUUAAUAGUAGUAAUUUCUUCAUUUAUGAGUGUGUGUCAAGGACAAUGCAGAGUAUUUUUAUUUUAUUUAUGUAUAUUAUAUAUUUACAUAUGUAUAUAAAUAUAUAAUAUAUGUAAACAUAUAUAAUAUAUAAAUGAAAUAUAACGUGUGUGUGUGUGUGUAUGUGUGUGUGUGUGUAUUUCCUAAUCCUCAGAAUAGCUAAAAGGUAGGUAUUUUUCCUAUUUUAGAGUUAGGGAAGCAACCAACAGAAUAAAUACUUUGUUCCAUGGUGUAUAUUCUCCACCCUGCUCCAAGCUGGGGAUUGAACCCAGGGCCUCACAUAUGCUAGGCAGCUACGCUACCACUGCAUUACACACCAGCUCAAGUAUGGUUUAUACUUUUAGUAAUUACUAAUUAUCAAAUUACUUAUUGACUACCUCCUUGUGACAGGUAUGAAGCUAAGUGCUUUACUUUUUUCUUGACUCAUUACCAUUGCUGAAAUAGAUACUGAGUAAAUUUUUCAUACAUAAGUAUAAUGACAGCUAGAAAAUGGCAGAACUGUAUUUCAAGCCAGUGACUUCUUGUUUUCUAAAAAAAUCUCUUCCUUCCUUUUUUUCCUUUCCUUCUUUUUUCUUUUUUUUCCACUGGUGCUGGGGAGAUCGAACCCAAGGGUGGUAUGGGCUAUAUCAUCAGCCCUAUUUAUUUUAUUUUGAGACAGGGUCUUGCUAAUUUUCCCAGGAUAUCUUCAAACUUGGAAUUCUCCUGUCUCAGCUUUCCUUGUAGCUGUAAUUAUAGGGGUGCACCACCAUACCUAUCUAAAAAUCUCUAUUCUUAACCAGUUUUCCUCACAAGACCUAUUCAUGUUAUAAGGGACAAAAGUGAUCACAUUGAGGUGGAGAUUCUGUGAAUUUCUCUCUCUGAAAGCAAGUUAGGAUAAAUUGAUUAAUAUCUCCAUACCAAUUAUGUAAUAGGAAUGUUUGAUUCAUUAGUAUAAAGAUUUCUAUGGCCCCAUCUAUUUUUUGAAAGUUAGCAUGUAUUCAUUAAAUAUCUACCAUGUACAUGGGCUGGGGUUAUGGCUCAGUGGUAGAGUGCUUGUCUAGCAUGUAUGAGGCCCUGGGUUUGAUUUUCAGCACUGCAUAUAAAUAAAUAAAAUGAAGAUCUAUUGACAACUAAAAAAAUAUUUUAAAAUACCAUGUACAACUGUGUUAGGAUACAGAAGUAUGAAUUAUGGUUCCAGUAUCUGAGAAACUUAAGAAUAUAAACAUGAUGGUAUACACUCAACUUGCUAAAUUGUGGAUUAAAAAAAAAAAAAGUCCCAAUUUGGUCAGAUGUGGUGGCAUAACUGUAGUCCCAGUUACUCCAGAGAUCACUUGAGCUCACAAGUUUGAGACCAGCCUGGGCAAUAUAGUGAGACCAUGUCUCAGAAACAAGCAAAACAAAAUACAGAUUCAACGACAAUAUAUUUCCUUGAUGUGAAUGCUGUAUAGUUUUCUUGAGCAAGAAACUUUAUCAAUAUCUUAAAUUUUUAGUAUAAAAAUAUUUAGAAUAUGGUCAAUAAAUAAAUUUUCCUUUAUUAUGAACUGUAAAAGCCACCAUUAGAAAGACUAUACUACCAAUUAGAUUAUGAAAUUAUAGUGAUUAUAAGACUAAUCUCAGUUUUACAGAUGUUAAAAUGUGAAACAUGUUACAACAAGUUAAUUAUUAACCGGUGUUGAGCUUUUAGAACUUUUGAUCAAUAAUCUUAUUUAGAGAGAUCUCAGUAGUAUGAGAAAAUAAAAUGAUUCUCUGGCUUCAAUAUUUUAUGACUGGAUUUUAGAGAAAAACAUAGAUAAUUUGUUAAUGCUUCUUUACAGUGCAGUCGUGUGAUUUUGAGAAAUUUCUUGUUCAGCUCUUUUAAAAUGACGUGGGGGAAAAUCGUUAACUGUAAAAAAAAAAAAAAAAAAAGAGGGGGUAUGUGAAACGAAUUGAAUGCUUGUAAUGUACUCAGUAUUCCCAGGUAUAUGCAGUUUGUGAAGGAGCUGGAAGGCCAUUUAGCCAUUCAGGGAAGUAAGUCAGCAGUUUCCCUGCAAGGGAAACCAUUAAAAUAAGUUAGAAGAAAUUAGAUAUUUACGAAGACAAGUGUGUAACACUAUUCAAAUAAAUUAAAAUAAAAUACUUAUCUUCAGCAUUCUGAAUAUUCUUGUGGUUUUCCCAUGUCUUCUGGCAUUUGAACAUUGUUUAGUAGUGUUGUAAAGAGAUACAGAAUGUAGAUUGGAGCUAUUACAUUCUGUUGUAUUUAUGAAGAUUAGGUUAGGUUAAGAGAAUACCAUAGUAUUGUAUAGUCAUGAACAACGCAUCUGGAUCCCUGCCUUCAGUGGCACUUGUAUACUUAUUGAGAAGGCAGAUCAUAAAUAAGCUUGUUCAUUUAUGUAUUUACUUAUCAUAGAUUAAGAUAAAUGCCACAAGGUUGUAUUAGAGGAUAAGAGGGGAAGCCCACUUUAGGUUAAGGUGGUCAAUGAAACCUUCUUAUGAGGUAAGAACUGAAGAAUUAAAUGAGCCAGAUAUAUAUGAAAAAUUACAGGAAGAACACUCCAGGCAGAGAAACAAGAUAGGUAGGCUGGGAGGUAAGAAAGAGCUUGGUAUUUUUCUGACUCAGAAAGGAUACUGGUAUGGGCUGGGGUUGUGGCAGGGGUAGAGUGCUCACCUAGCAUACAUGAGGCACUGGGUUUGAUCUUCAGCACCACAUAAAAAUAAAAUAAAGAUACUAAAGCUAAAAAAUAAAUGUUAAAAAAUAAAAAAGAUGGCUGGGAUUGUGGCUCAGCGGUAGAGCGCUCACCUAGGUACGGGCGCAACCCAGGUUCCAUUCUCAGCACCACGUAAAAAUAAAGGCAUUGUGUUGUGUCCAUCUACAAAAAAAAAAAAGAUAUUUUCUCUCUCUCUCUCUCAAAAAAAAAAAAAAGAAAUAAAAAAGAAGGGAAAGAAGGGAUAUGGUAAGGCUAGAGCAUAGUGAGCUAGGGAGAAUUGCAUAACAAGUUAUUAGGCAAGCAGGAGUCAAUUCAUGUGGGUCCUUGUAAGCCAUGAUAAAGAUGAAAAGUUUUAAUUGCAUUCUGAGAAAAUGGCAAAUGCUUUUGAAAGAUUUUAUGCAGGGUAAUUUUAUAAUCUAAUUUUCAUUUUUCAAAGAUCAGUCUGGCUUAUGGGUAUAGAAGGAUUGGAGAGGAGCUAUAGGAGAAACAGGAAGAUUGACUAGGCAGAUGCAGUAGUCAAGCUGGACAAGUGUACCCAUACUUGGUGGCCUAUGCCUAUAAUCAUAGCUACUUAGAAGGUUGAGGUAUAGGGAUCACAAAUUUGAGGCCAGACUGGGCAAUUUAGUAAGACUAUCUUAGAAUAAAUUAAAAAGGACUGGGAUGUAACUCAGUGGUAAAAGGCUUGCCUAGCAUGUGUGAGGCCCUGGGUUCAAUCCCCAGUACUUGGGGAAAAAUAAAAAUGGAUAAGGUGGUGACAGUUGCCUUUUUCACCCUGGUGGGCCAGGUGGCAUUUUUUUGUUAUCCGUGCAUGCCUACUUUUGUAAUACAGUGUCUAGAAGACCAUUUCUUGGAUUUAGAGUGUAUAGUUUAAUUGGUUGAAAAUCCUUAUUUCCCUCAAGUGUUUAUUUUAGAUGUCUGGGUUAUUCAAAGAUGUUAUGUACUACAAAUGCAUAUUAGUGUUAUUUAUUUAUUAGAAAAAAUAUAAGCAUGGAAAGUACUUUGCCUUGAGUAAUAAUUCAAAGAUUAGAGACCAUGGUUCUGUCUCCUUUUAUUACACAGGCACUAAUUUCAACUUAUAUGGUCCUUUGUAGAUGAGGACUUUCCUGUUUUUCCUGUUCUUGAAAGUCUGUUAUUG
rnacentral:lncRNA from 1 species